AACUGAUAUCUUUGCUUACUGAAAAGAUAAGUCGUCUCCUAUGGUGUUUUAGCUGUUAACCUUUCAUCUUGGAGGCUCUUGUAGUUAAUUAAGGAACAUUAGAAGAACUCGGGAUACCAUUAAAUUACGAAAGUAUAGAGCGUUGGUUGUAUUAGUCCUCAUUUGCCCCAGAAAGUAGCUGUGCCCAUGAUUCUAAAGAAAGCAUGAAAGUGCCUUUUUUCCGUUGGGAUCGAAGCUGUUAAAUUUUCAUCCCGGAUGCUCUUGUAGUUAAUUAAGGGAUGUUAGAAGAACUCCAGAUGCCAUUAAAUUGUGGAGCAUUGAUUGUGUUGGUUCUCAUUGACUCCAAAAAGUGACUAUUCCUAUGGUCAUAAAGAAAGCAUGAAAGUGCCUUUCCAUUGGGAACGGAGGCAAUGUGCUGAAGAAGAAGUGUGUUGCUGAAGGAGGGAUUUAUGACUAAACUGAUUGUCCCACAAAUGACGAGGGAUUGCAGUUAAUUUUGAUGCUACUGAAGCAACCGAUACUUUUGAUGUCUUCAUCUUGCAACAUUAUGCAGUUAAUUUUUGCCGUUACAACAAGAGACUGUUGGAAAUUAAUUAAUUUGGAAACGACUGGAACAACAAAUUGUUUGCAGUGGUAUCCCUCCUAGAUUUGGUUUGCUCAUCACACUGGUAGACUAUAGAACGCCACUUUCUACAAUUAAUUAAGGUUAUACAAUAAAUGAGAGAAUUAAUGUGCAGUUUGGUUAUACGGCCUGUAUCUACAAGGGUGUGGUCUUUCCUGGAUUAUAUUCUUGAUUUGCCGUUUCGUUAUCGCCUUGUAACAUCAUGCAAUUAAUUUUUUCCCUAACAACGGGAGGCAUUUGGAAAUUAAUUGAUUUGGAAGCGUCUGGAACAACAAAUUGUUUGCAGUGGUAUCCGUCCUAGAUUUGAUUGGUUUGCUCAUCACACUGGUGGACUUUAGAACGCCACUUUCUCCAAUUAAUUAAGGUUAUACAAUAAAUGAGAGAGAAUUAAUGUUCAGUUUGGUUAUACUGAAACAGCCUAAGUCUACAAGGGUGUGGUCUUUCCUGGAUUAAUUCUUGAUUUGCUGUUUCGUCUUCGCCUUGUAACAUCAUGCAGUUAAUUUUCAACCCAUGAGGGAGAGCAACUGGAUAUUUAUUUGAAUUCCACUGAAACAACAAAUUCUCUACUACGGUGUUCCUCCUGGAGUUGGUUUGCUUUUUACACCGAUAAACUUUGGUUCUACAAUUAAUUAAGAUCGACGUUGGAGAAGACAAAGAUGACCCCAUAGUUGAAAUCUUGCAUGUUCUAUCUAGAAUUCAUUAAGUUGGUUUUAUUGAAAUUAAUUUUUUAUUUUGCAUGUUUUUUAUAGUUAAUUUGAAUUAGUUUUU